AUUUCCACUCUUGUAACACCUGAUGUGCACAGGCUCCCCAGGACAGACAAAUCCAUGUAUUUCAUCCAGCAGACAGAAAAACAGACAAGCUCACUGUAUGAUUCAGACUGUGGUUGCUGGUACAAUUGGGCUACUACACACCUAAGUGAGAAUAGGUUGGCCUGCAUAAUCUAUGUAUCUAUCAAGAUAAAAGCCCCAACAAUGACUGUCCCUGCUGCAAAGUUUAGACAACUUUUUCUGUAAGUAACUCAAUGAAGCUAAUGGGGUCUGGAGUCCUAUGAACUUGUUGGAUCAUCUAAUGAAACCCAAAAGAACUCCCUAAUGCAUUUGUGAUGCCUUUCUCUUGUGCAGAUCCCCAAGAGUCCAGUGUGUGAGCUCAGCUUGCAGUCACUUUUUCAGUGUAGCUGCUAGUAUCACUCUCUCUUCUUCCAUACACUUCUGAAGCUCAUGGACACUUCAUUUCUUCAGAAGUGCUUCUCUUCUGAGAAAUCUGGCUGAAGAUUUCCAAGAGUUUGGACAUAAUGAGGAUGGUCAGAAAGAAGAAUAAACAAAGGCAAAGACAGACA
rnacentral:lncRNA from 1 species